rnacentral:lncRNA from 1 species
AUUCCUCUUUCAGUGUCCUUGCUUCUUGCAGUAGAAGUAUUCUGUCUGACUCUGAUCGGACUUGAUUUUUUUGGUCUGACUGGGCUUGGGUGCCCCAGCACUUUGCAUCCUUUUCUUGUUCUUCUUCUCUUUCUUAAAGGAUCGACAUCCACAAGAAGACCCUCCCAUAAUAUUUACUGACUCCUUAUGGAGCUAGUGAUCCUUCUCAAAAUUCUACAGUAACCCCAGCAAAUCGUGAUAGCUGAUCGCAGGCUUUGUCAUUCAAAAAAGAGUAAGGAAAGGGAGGUAGGACUUGGGUAGAGAGUUCAGAAUGGCAUCUUUCUCCAGCUGCUCAUGCAAGAAAAAGUUGAGCUUGCUUAAAUGCCCAAUCAUCUCGAUCAUAUAUAGUAUAUGAUUGGUGACGGACGCUCCUUCCCUCAUUCGAGCGUUGAAGAUGGCACAACUAGUCUUGUACCUCUCAACAUCAUCGGGUGUACUAAAGGACUCAUUCAAUAUUUGUAAUAUGUCUUGUGGUUGAGUAUUCUCGAAACAAUGGCUGAACUCAUCAUUCAUUACCACCAGCAUAAUACAAUA